ACCUGGGUGGCUCAGUUGGUUGAGCUUCUGACUUUGGCUCAGGUCAUGAUCUCUGGUUCGUGAGUUCAAGCCCCAUGUCAGGCU
rnacentral:tRNA from 1 species